GUUUAGGCUGAGGAGAGGGUGAGUUUGGGGAGGUGUGUGUGUGUUUGGGGAGGUGUGUGUGAGUUUAGGGAGGUGUUUUACAUGUUGAGUCAGGCUGAGGAGAGGGUGAGUUUAGGGAGGUGUUUUACAUGUUGAGUCAGGCUGAGGAGAGGGUGAGUUUGGGGAGGUGUGUCACAUGUUGAGUCAGGCUGAGGAGAGGGUGAGUUUAGGGAGGUGUGUCACAUGUUGAGUCAGGCUGAGGAG